rnacentral:rRNA from 1 species
ACAGAGGUGCCGAGCGUUAGGCGGAAUCACUGGGCUUAAAGCGUGUGUAGGCGGGUGCCUAAGUACCUUGUGAAAUCCCACGGCUCAACCGUGGAACUGCUCGGUAUACUGGGUGCCUUGAGCCAACUAGGGGCGACCGGAACAAACGGUGGAGCGGUGAAGUGCGUAGAUAUCGUUGAAACGCCGAUGGUGAAAACAGGUCGCUGGGGUUGUGCUGACGCUGAGACACGAAAGCCAGGGGAGCGAACGGGA